rnacentral:snRNA from 1 species
AUACUCUGUUUUCUCUUCAGAUCAUAUAAAUCUUUCGCCUUUUACUAAAGAUUUCCGUGGAGAGGAACAUUUAUGAGUUUGUAACUGAAGAUUGGUAUUGUGAAGUAUGGGACAUU